AGGACACGACGUAGCAGUAAUUUCCGGUGGUAUCUGGAAACUGUCGGAAUGGUUUCUGCAAGCGGUAUUAUCAAUUAGACACCACCGGGAGAAGCAGCAUAAACAAGAAGACACGUCCUUUAACCAAACGCAUCGACGGAAGGCAACAAGAACUAUGAGAACAAAUAUCAUAUUUAUUGGGAUACUGGUUAGCCAAGUAUUACAAGCAAAACUAGGUUCAGGGACAUACUCAUUGAAUGGGAUUGAUUGCAAACGCCAAUGCAAGUGGCCGGCCGAACCCGCGGUUUGCCGUUUCAAUUUUACCAUAGAUUGGUAUUACUCUAUGUCUAAAGCGUGCUAUGAUUGUCCGUUCAAUU